rnacentral:rRNA from 1 species
UACGUAGGGUGCAAGCGUUGUCCGGAAUUAUUGGGCGUAAAGAGCUCGUAGGCGGUUUGUCGCGUCUGCUGUGAAAACUGGGGGCUCAACCCCCAGCCUGCAGUGGGUACGGGCAGACUAGAGUGCGGUAGGGGAGAUUGGAAUUCCUGGUGUAGCGGUGGAAUGCGCAGAUAUCAGGAGGAACACCAAUGGCGAAGGCAGAUCUCUGGGCCGUAACUGACGCUGAGGAGCGAAAGCGUGGGGAGCAAACAGG